rnacentral:lncRNA from 12 species
AAACAAAAAUUUGCCUAAGACAGGAUGCCUACUACUUUACUACUUACAACAGACAAAGUAAAAACAAAAAUUCUGAAAGCUUGAGGGUAAAAGGGCAAUCCCAAAUCUGCAAAAGCAGAUUAUUUUGAACUCUCUUCUCCUUCAUUAUGCCCUCAAGAUAAUCCAUGGAUGUGAAAGCUUUAUUCGUUCCCUCAGUCCUACCUCCAUCAAGACAAACAUUUAGCAAGUUUUCUUUUUGGAAAAUCCAACUCUCUUUUUGACUCUAUUAAGCCACAUAGGAGACACACAGGUGGAGAACACAAAGGCCUCCCUCCCCUCAGCUUUCCAUCUAUUUCUCUUCUGACAUUUUCUUCCUGUUGAAAUAGUUGCAUGUUUCUAAGGAAUCCUUGGACUUUGAAUAUUGAAGACUGCGUAACCUAUCAAGGGGGGAGGGGGCGGCAGUUUGCUGGGGGAGCUUCACAAGCGUUAUUUCCCUGACGUUCGUUCACAGUCACCGCAAAGUUGGUCCCAUUCGUAGCAUCACUUGAAUACCCGAGGGCGCAGAAGCUCGGGGGCGCCCGGGAGUCGAGAGCCAGGGCUGUGGGGUCACCUUCUCUUCCUCCCUCCUGCUACCCCAAGUCGCCUGAGGUGCACGUUGCACAGUGGGAGAGCACGUUGGCCUGGAUCUCAAGCUACUCACCUUCUAGUCCUGCCUCUGUCAUUUCCCAGAUCUGUGGCUUCGGGUAAGUCACCUCACCUCUCUGGGCCUCAGUUUCCUCAUUUGUAAAGUGGGGGGUUUGCUUAGGUAAUCUCCACAUUUCCUUUUUACUGUGAAUUUCUAAUUCCUGCUGUCCAGUUGCAAAUUGGGGAAGAAGGGGAAUAUUCCUAAUUUUUUACCUUCUAAGGAUGAGUCUGAGGAGCAGUAACAAUAGUUAAAUUUCUUACAUGUCAAACAGGAAGGGGAUGAAAAUUAGGCCCAUUGUUCUCUGCUUGCCUCUCCCCUUAGCCAUGUUGCCUGACCCAUUUUAUUAAUCUUAAGGUCAUUCAACGUUUAUGUUUUUGGACAUUACCUACUUCCAGCAUGGAUCUGAAGGGUUCACAGUAUAAGAUGCAUCUGUUCAAUUAGGCCUUUAAAAUACAAAUUAGGAGUCGGUUAAUGUAAAAAUAAUGCUGCUGCUGCUUCAUUGGUUACUACCAAUGUUGUGAUUAAUCAUCAGAUGUAAUUCUGAGCAUCCUGGAAGCCAAAGCAAGAAGAGAGGGAGAUAGAUAAUUGUUAUUCAAUAAAAAAAAAUUUCCAGAUUGUUCCUUGUCCUAA